AGUGAACGCUGGCGGCGUGCUUAACACAUGCAAGUCGAACGAGAACGGAUUAUAGCUUGCUAUAAUUGUCAGCUAAGUGGCGCACGGGUGAGUAAUGUAUAGAUAACCUGCCCUCUAGAAAGGAAUAACAGAUGGAAACGACUGCUAAUGCCUUAUAUGCCUUUAAUACAUAAGUAUGCAAGGGUAACGCUUUAGUGCUAGAGGAUGGGUCUGUAUGGUAUCAGCUAGCUGGUGAGGUAAUGGCUCACCAAGGCUAUGACGCCUAACUGGUUUGAGAGGAUGAUCAGACGCACUGGAGCUGCGACACGGUCCAGACUCCGACGGAAGGCAGCAGUGGGUAAUAUUGCACAAUGGACGAAAGUUUGAUGCAGCAGCGCCGCGUGGAGGAUGACACAUUUCGGUGCGUAAACUCCUUUUAUAUAGGAAGAAAAUGACGGUACUAUAUGAAUAAGCACCGGCUAACUCCGUGCCAGCCGCCGCCGUAA
rnacentral:rRNA from 1 species